rnacentral:miRNA from 1 species
CGGAAGACUCGCACGUGAC